GUGAGGAAUAUUGGUCAAUGGACGAGAGUCUGAACCAGCCAAGUCGCGUGAAGGAAGACGGUUCUAUGAAUUGUAAACUUCUUUUGUGCAGGAAUAAAGUGGGUUACGUGUAACCUUUUGUAUGUACUGUACGAAUAAGGAUCGGCUAACUCCGUGCCAGCAGCCGCGGUAAUACGGAGGAUCCGAGCGUAAUCCGGAUUUAUUGGGUUUAAAGGGUGCGUAGGUGGAUUGAUAAGUCAGCGGUGAAAGUUUGCAGCUUAACUGUAAAAUUGCCGUUGAAACUGUCGGUCUUGAGUGCAAAUGAGGUAGGCGGAAUGUGUUGUGUAGCGGUGAAAUGCUUAGAUAUAACACAGAACUCCGAUUGCGAAGGCAGCUUACUGGGAUGCAACUGACACUGAUGCACGAAAGCGUGGGUAUCAAACAGGAUUAGAAACCCGAGUAGUCC
rnacentral:rRNA from 1 species